UACGGGGGGGGCAAGCGUUGUUCGGAAUUACUGGGCGUAAAGGGCUCGUAGGUGGCCAACUAAGUCAGACGUGAAAUCCCUCGGCUUAACCGGGGAACUGCGUCUGAUACUGGAUGGCUUGAGUUUGGGAGAGGGAUGCGGAAUUCCAGGUGUAGCGGUGAAAUGCGUAGAUAUCUGGAGGAACACCGGUGGCGAAGGCGGCAUCCUGGACCAACACUGACACUGAGGAGCGAAAGCCAGGAGAGCAAACGGG
rnacentral:rRNA from 1 species